AUACUUACCUGGAUGGGGUCAAUGGACGAUCAUGAAGGUCUAUGGCCUAGGUUGGUGACCUCCAUUGCACUUUGGAGGGGUGUCUGCCUAAGGUGUUCUCAAGUAGAACAGCAGCCUACAUUAUAAUUUGUUGCUGUGGGGGCCUGCGUUCGCGUGGCCCCCCUUCUGCUAGAGAUUUUUUUAUUUUUAUCUUGUAGCUUCGCUUUCCUCCAUAAUUAAAAGAUAGAAAAUCCUAUUAUAAUGUGGUAAAGAUAGAAAAUCCUUCCAUUAAUAAAUUAGAUAAACAUACUUAGUUAAAUAUAACUUUAUUUUUACAACAAAUAUCAUAGACAUGGAUGCUCAUGUAACAUUA
rnacentral:lncRNA from 1 species